rnacentral:rRNA from 1 species
GAUGAACGCUGGCGGCGUGCCUAAUACAUGCAAGUCGAGCGAACGGACGAGAAGCUUGCUUUUCUGAUGUUAGCGGCGGACGGGUGAGUAACACGUGGAUAACCUACCUAUAAGACUGGGAUAAUUUCGGGAAACCGGAGCUAAUACCGGAUAAUAUUUUGAACCGCAUGGUUCAAAAGUGAAAGACGGUCUUGCUGUCACUUAUAGAUGGAUCCGCGCUGCAUUAGCUAGUUGGUAAGGUAACGGCUUACCAAGGCAACGAUGCAUAGCCGACCUGAGAGGGUGAUCGGCCACACUGGAACUGAGACACGGUCCAGACUCCUACGGGAGGCAGCAGUAGGGAAUCUUCCGCAAUGGGCGAAAGCCUGACGGAGCAACGCCGCGUGAGUGAUGAAGGUCUUCGGAUCGUAAAACUCUGUUAUUAGGGAAGAACAUAUGUGUAAGUAACUGUGCACAUCUUGACGGUACCUAAUCAGAAAGCCACGGCUAACUACGUG